AGAUUCUACAAGUGAGUUCGGGUCUACUUCUGGUUCCUCGGUGUCUCGUGUGAAGUCUGGUGACCGUCCUAUGGAUGCUCCUAUUUCUGAGGGUAUGUGUAGGAAACGAAAAGAGAUUGGAAUAUAUGAAAGUUCUAGUGUUGAUGGUGUUCGGCGCGUUCCUCCUAGUAGCGAUGGGUCUUUGAAGCGUGCCCGUUUGGACGGUAGCAAUCUGUGUCAGCCGGCCAUUCAGAAAAACGUCCCAACAUGGUUGACGCGUCGGUCGUUCCUGAGGAUGCGAAGUUGUUCUUCUCAAAGGUGGUGGAUGCUUCCGAGGCGUGUGUUGAUACUACCACUCAUAAGCUAGUUCAUGGUUUAUCGGUGCCGUUUGCCUUGGACGCUAUUUAUAGGGAUAUUGUAGAGUGCGGUGGCGGUCAUAUGAUGAAGGAGGGUCUCCUUGAUAUGCAAACUCUGUGUUACAUGAAUAAAAAUCUCCUCGAAGUAUCCGACCAACUCACGCGGGUGAAUAAUGGCCCUAUUGAUGCAAACACGUUGCGUGGUUGGGAGACUACCAUUCGUUCCACAAUUGGUCUAGGCUUCCUAAUAGGGUGGUUAGACGAGUUGCUGAUAAAGGUGAACGAUCGCAAUGACCCUAGUGCACAACUCCCAGACCAUAUUUCUCAGCUAGAAAACCAGUUGGUUCAGCAUCCAAGGCAACUUCAUACAAGAAGAUGGCGCUGAAUCAGCUUGUCGCCAACGUGGGGCAGCAACCAGUGCAACUCAGCAAGCAGAGGCUGCGGAAGAGGAGGUUCGUGUGGAUAUGGAGAAGAAAAGGAAUGAGUGGUCUGAGUUCCAUUCCACAUGAUGCAUCUUAUUUCUUUCGUUUCUUUUCUUUUAUCGUUAUUUGUUUCACGUGCCUUCCUUUCCUUGGAAAAUUUGUUGUGUAUUCGGUUGUUUGUGGAUGUUAUGUAUUUUGUCGUCAUUUUAUCUUGUGGAUUUAUGUUGGGACGGGCCUUUUGGAUGUGUUGGGUUCAUAUUUUAUGUAGGAUCUGACGCUUCAUCUCGUCUUGAUUUAUG